rnacentral:rRNA from 1 species
CAUUUGUUCUUUAAAUAAGGACUUGUAUGAAUGGCCACACGAGGGUUUUACUGUCUCUUGCUUCCAAUCAGUGAAAUUGACCUUCCCGUGAAGAGGCGGGAAUAAAAUAAUAAGACGAGAAGACCCUAUGGAGCUUUAACUAAUUAGUUCAAAAAUAAAAAAAACUUAACCACCAAGGGACAAUACUAGUUUUUAUGAACUAACAGUUUCGGUUGGGGUGACCUCGGAGAACAGAUAAUCCUCCGAGCGAUUUUAAAAACUAGACACACAAGUCAAAUUGAACCAUCGCUUAUUGAUCCAAAAUUUGAUCAACGGAACAAGUUACCCUAGGGAUAACAGCGCA